GCCCCCACCGGCACCUGCCGCCACCCCCAGACCCCCGGCGUCCCCUCACGGUGUUACGGUUGAACCGCACCUGGAAAUUAAACACAAACCUGAGGAACGCGGGCAGCAGCUCGGAUGGAACAGAGGACUCGGAUUUCUCCACGGAUCCCGAGCACACGGACAGCUCCGAGAGCGACGGCACCUCCCGGAGAUCCGCCCGCGUCACCCGCUCCUCCGCCAGGCUCAGCCAGAGCUCCCAGGGUGAGGCUGGGCUCCUGCAGCCGGGAAAGGCUCAUCCUGAAACUGGGGAUCCUUAAAUCCUUAAACUGGGGAAAGCCUCAUCCUGAAACCGGGGAUCCUUAAA